CUGACUUGCUCAAGUUUGCAUAGUUUGUAACUUACAGAGCCUAGAUUCAAAGCUAGUUUCAAAAUAAGAGGUGAUCUAGAGAGCAAGUAGUACUCAAUACUUUGGCUUCAUAGCUUAAUGGGAAUAACCCAAAGAAGAAAUGUUUAAGAAGACACAGAAUGCUGCUAAUUUCAUUGACAGAUUUGAGAGCCCUGGGCAUUUGCCUCUUUUUCUGGGAUAUUUAGCUCAGAAAGUGAUUAUCAUUUCAUUCUCCUUCCAGAGACCAUAGCUCCGGGGUUUUGGAGACUUGAGUGUAGUGACCGUUUCGUCUAUAUUGUGAGCUAUCAAUACAGCUGUCUAACUUAACGAAGAGUCAAACUUGAGCUCAGGAAGCAUUUCUUACACAGCAGUAGUGGGUCCUCCUCUGGCUGCCACCCAGCUUGGGGAGGGACUGUGGAGGCAGCGAGUCCAUGGAAAAGGAGGCAGGUACAAGGGAAACACAAGGAGAGAAGAGAAGCCAUUGUUUCUGGACUUGGCCACCCCACUCAGGAGCACGGUGGAGAAUAAAGAGGAAAAACAUGGAACGCCAUUUAUGAAAUGACAUUCUCAUCCAAUUCCUCCAUCCCAAAUGAAUGAAGAUUUAUGGAGUAGAGACCUCUGCGGGGCAGGAGGUGGGACCAUCUGUAGAAGUGCUCAAGAGAGACCAGCUGAAGAGCCAAGGAUGAGCUGGAGAUCCACCGGCAAAUGGUCAGCAGCGAGACAGACGGAAGGCCUUUAUCAUCUCCAGGCCCUCUCCAAACACACAAAUCAAUAACAAUUAAAGCAGAUUAUGAAAAGGCAAUAAUGGAUAGUUAAAUGUUUGGACUUGAUUUAAACUGGGAUAAACGCUUUC
rnacentral:lncRNA from 1 species